UACGGGGGGAGCAAGCGUUGUUCGGAUUUACUGGGCGUAAAGGGCUCGUAGGCGGCCAACUAAGUCAGAUGUGAAAUCCCUCGGCUUAACCGGGGAACUGCAUCUGAUACUGGAUGGCUUGAGUUCGGGAGAGGGAUGCGGAAUUCCAGGUGUAGCGGUGAAAUGCGUAGAUAUCUGGAGGAACACCGGUGGCGAAGGCGGCAUCCUGGACCGACACUGACGCUGAGGAGCGAAAGCCAGGGGAGCAAACGGG
rnacentral:rRNA from 1 species